GACGAACGCUGGCGGCAUGCCUAACACAUGCAAGUCGAACGAGACCUUCGGGCCUAGUGGCGCACGGGUGCGUAACGCGUGGGAACCUGCCCUUAGGUUCGGAAUAACUCCCCGAAAGGGGUGCUAAUACCGGAUAAUGUCUUCGGACCAAAGAUUUAUCGCCUUUGGAUGGGCCCGCGUUGGAUUAGCUAGUUGGUAGGGUAAAAGCCUACCAAGGCGACGAUCCAUAGCUGGUCUGAGAGGAUGAUCAGCCACACUGGGACUGAGACACGGCCCAGACUCCUACGGGAGGCAGCAGUGGGGAAUAUUGGACAAUGGGCGAAAGCCUGAUCCAGCAAUGCCGCGUGAGUGAUGAAGGCCUUAGGGUUGUAAAGCUCUUUUACCCGGGAUGAUAAUGACAGUACCGGGAGAAUAAGCUCCGGCUAACUCCGUG
rnacentral:rRNA from 1 species